UAAUAACCAGGAAAUGAUGUUCUUCCUUGUUUUAUAACAAAACCGCAAUUAUGCUGAUGACGUCUAUAGUUUU
rfam:Clostridium sp. CAG:307 genomic scaffold, scf76